rnacentral:rRNA from 1 species
AUUGAACGCUGGCGGCAUGCUUUACACAUGCAAGUCGAACGGUAACAGGCCGCAAGGUGCUGACGAGUGGCGCACGGGUGAGUAAUGCAUCGGAACGUGCCCAGUCGUGGGGGAUAACUACUCGAAAGAUUAGCUAAUACCGCAUACGAUCUAUGGAUGAAAGCGGGGGACCGUAAGGCCUCGCGCGAUUGGAGCGGCCGAUGUCAGAUUAGGUAGUUGGUGGGGUAAAGGCUCACCAAGCCAACGAUCUGUAGCUGGUCUGAGAGGACGACCAGCCACACUGGGACUGAGACACGGCCCAGACUCCUACGGGAGGCAGCAGUGGGGAAUUUUGGACAAUGGGCGCAAGCCUGAUCCAGCAAUGCCGCGUGCAGGAAGAAGGCCUUCGGGUUGUAAACUGCUUUUGUACGGAACGAAACGGCUCUGGUUAAUACCCGGGGCUAAUGACGGUACCGUAAGAAUAAGCACCGGCUAACUACGUG